rnacentral:rRNA from 1 species
UGCCCAACAGCUAGCCCACCCGAUUAUUUCAACCUUAUAAUAUUAAUAACCCUAAAUACAAUAAAUACAAUUAAUUAAACCAUUCUCCCCCUUUAGUAUGAGCGACAGAAAAAGAAUUCGGCGCAAUAAAGAAAGUACCGCAAGGGAAAGCUGAAAAAGAAAUGAAAUAACCCAGUUAAGCACUAAAAAGCAGAGACUUCCCCUCGUACCUUUUGCAUCAUGUUUUAGCUAGUGCUCCUCAAGCAAAAAGCCCUUUAGUUUGAAAACCCGAAACCAGGUGAGCUACUCCAAGACAGCCUUGUUAUUAGGGCUAACCCGUCUCUGUGGCAAAAGAGUGGGAAGAGCUUCGAGUAGAGGUGACAGACCUACCGAACCUUGUUAUAGCUGGUUGCCUAAAAAUUGAAUAGAAGUUCAGCCUCUAAACUUUUCCAAUCACACAUAAAAUUUUGAUCAAGAAAAGAGAAGUUUAUAGAGUUAGUCAAAAGGGGUACAGCCCUUUUGAAACAGAUACAACUUUUAUGGGCGGAUAAAAAUCAAAAUUUAUAUAAGACUAAAUAUUUAAGUGGGCCUAAAAGCAGCCACCUACUCAGAAAGCGUUAAAGCUCAAAUAUUAAAAAUUGUCUAAAAUCAAGAUAAUAAUAUUUUAUUCCCCCAGUUAUAUUAGGCCUCCCCAUAAAAUUUAUGGGGGCGAUUAUGCUAAUAUGAGUAAUCAGAGGGUACCAGCCCUCUCCUAAGCGCAGGUGUACCCCGGAACGAACCCCCACCGAACAUUAAACGGCCCCAAAAAAAGAGGGAGCCAGGUCAAAUAAAGAAAACUAGAAAACCACCUGUAAAAUACCGUUAAUCCCACACUGGCGCGCCCUUAUGGAAAGAUUGAAAGGAAAAGAAGGAACUCGGCAAAUCCUAAAUAGCCUCGCCUGUUUACCAAAAACAUCGCCUCUUGCCUUAACAGAAUAAGAGGUCCCGCCUGCCCCGUGACUAUAAGUUUAACGGCCGCGGUAUUUUGACCGUGCAAAGGUAGCGCAAUCACUUGUCUUUUAAAUGAAGACCUGUAUGAAUGGCAAAACGAGGGCUUAACUGUCUCCUUUUCCAAGUCAAUGAAAUUGAUCCCCCCGUGCAGAAGCGGGGAUAUACUUAUAAGACGAGAAGACCCUAUGGAGCUUAAGACAAUAAACAGACUAAGUUAAUUACCCCUAAACAAGGGAAUAAACCAUUAGGCCCUGUCUUUAUGUCUUUGGUUGGGGCGACCGCGGGGCAAUACAAAACCCCCAUGUGGAAUAAGAUUACUUAUCUUACAACCAAGGGCUACACCCCUAAGUAACAGAACUUCUGACCCUUAAGAUCCGGCAACGCCGAUCAACGAACCCAGUUACCCUAGGGAUAACAGCGCAAUCCUCUUCUAGAGCCCAUAUCGACAAGAGGGUUUACGACCUCGAUGUUGGAUCAGGACAUCCUAAUGGUGCAGCCGCUUUUAAGGGUUCGUUUGUUCAACGAUUAAAGUCCUACGUGAUCUGAGUUCAGACCGGAGUAAUCCAGGUCAGUUUCUAUCUAUAAAAUGACUUCUUCUAGUACGAAAGGACCGAAGAGAAGAAGCCCAUACUAAAAGCACGCCUCCUCCUCACCUGAUGAAGACAACUAAAACAGGCAAAAGGACAUAUUCCUUUCGGCCUGAGAUAAUAGCCU